rnacentral:rRNA from 1 species
GGAUGAGCCCGCGGCCUAUCAGCUUGUUGGUGGGGUAAUGGCCUACCAAGGCGACGACGGGUAGCCGGCCUGAGAGGGUGACCGGCCACACUGGGACUGAGAUACGGCCCAGACUCCUACGGGAGGCAGCGGUGGGGAAUAUUGCACAAUGGGCGCAAGCCUGAUGCAGCGACGCCGCGUGAGGGAUGACGGCCUUCGGGUUGUAAACCUCUUUCAAUAGGGACGAAGCGCAAGUGACGGUACCUAUAGAAGAAGGACCGGCCAACUACGUGCCAGCAGCCGCGGUAAUACGUAGGGUCCGAGCGUUGUCCGGAAUUACUGGGCGUAAAGAGCUCGUAGGUGGUUUGUCGCGUUGUUCGUGAAAACUCACAACUCAAUUGUGGGCGUGCGGGCGAUACGGGCAGACUAGAGUACUGCAGGGGAGACUGGAAUUCCUGGUGUAGCGGUGGAAUGCGCAGAUAUCAGGAGGAACACCGGUGGCGAAGGCGGGUCUCUGGGCAGUAACUGACGCUGAGGAGCGAAAGCGUGGGGAGCGAACAGGAUUAGAUACCCUGGUAGUCCACGCCGUAAACGGUGGGUACUAGGUGUGGGUUCCUUCCUUGGGAUCCGUGCCGUAGCUAACGCAUUAAGUACCCCGCCUGGGGAGUACGGCCGCAAGGCUAAAACUCAAAGAAAUUGACGGGGGCCCGCACAAGCGGCGGAGCAUGUGGAUUAAUUCGAUGCAACGCGAAGAACCUUACCUGGGUUUGACAUGCACAGGACGCCGGCAGAGAUGUCGGUUCCCUUGUGGCCUGUGUGCAGGUGGUGCAUGGCUGUCGUCAGCUCGUGUCGUAAGAUGUUGGGUUAAGUCCCGCAACGAGCGCAACCCCUAUCUUAUGUUGCCAGCGCGUUAUGGCGGGGACUCGUAAGAGACUGCCGGGGUCAACUCGGAGGAAGGUGGGGAUGACGUCAAGUCAUCAUGCCCCUUAUGUCCAGGGCUUCACACAUGCUACAAUGGCCGGUACAAAGGGCUGCGAAUCCGCGAGGUGGAGCGAAUCCCUUGAAAGCCGGUCUCAGUUCGGAUCGGGGUCUGCAACUCGACCCCGUGAAGUUGGAGUCGCUAGUAAUCGCAGAUCAGCAACGCUGCGGUGAAUACGUUCCCGGGCCUUGUACACACCGCCCGUCACGUCAUGAAAGUCGGUAACACCCGAAGCCGGUGGCCUAACCCUUGUGGAGGGAGCCGUCGAAGGUGGGGCUGG